UGAGGAAUAUUGGUCAAUGGACGAGAGUCUGAACCAGCCAAGUAGCGUGCAGGAUGACGGCCCUCCGGGUUGUAAACUGCUUUUAGUUGGGAAUAAAGUUCGGGACGUGUCCCGAUUUGUAUGUACCAUCAGAAAAAGGACCGGCUAAUUCCGUGCCAGCAGCCGCGGUAAUACGGAAGGUCCGGGCGUUAUCCGGAUUUAUUGGGUUUAAAGGGAGCGUAGGCCGUCUGUUAAGCGUGUUGUGAAAUGUCGGGGCUCAACCUGGGCAUUGCAGCGCGAACUGGCAGACUUGAGUGCGCGGGAAGUAGGCGGAAUUCGUCGUGUAGCGGUGAAAUGCUUAGAUAUGACGAAGAACUCCGAUUGCGAAGGCAGCCUGCUGUAGCGUAACUGACGCUGAAGCUCGAAAGCGUGGGUAUCGAACAGGAUUAGAUACCCUGGUAGU
rnacentral:rRNA from 1 species